ACUCUUGUGAUGAGUAUUGCAGAUGACUUUCGUUCUUCUGAAGCAUCUGAAGACAGUCUUACUUCUGAAGAGU